CGGAUGAACGCUGGCGGCGUGCCUCAAACAUGCAAGUCGAGCGAGGCUAUGAAUUACCGCAAGGUAAGGCAUAGCCUAGCGGCGAACGGGUGAGUAACACGUGGGUAACCUACCUGGAAGACAGGGAUAACGAUUCGAAAGGGUCGCUAAUACCUGAUAAUAUCCGUCUGCCGGAUGGCGGAGGGAAGAAAGGGGAAACCCGCUUUCAGAUGGGCCCGCGUCCCAUCAGCUAGUUGGUAAGGUAAAGGCUUACCAAGGCGACGACGGGUAGCCGGUCUGAGAGGAUGUACGGCCACACUGGGACUGAGAUACGGCCCAGACUCCUACGGGAGGCAGCAGUUGGGAAUCUUAGGCAAUGGACGAAAGUCUGACCUAGCGACGCCGCGUGAGGGAAGAAGGCCUUCGGGUUGUAAACCUCUGUCAUGGGGGAAGAAGGAAGUGACGGUACCCCAAGAGGAAGCCCCUGCUAACUACGUG
rnacentral:rRNA from 1 species